rfam:Nematostella vectensis strain CH2 x CH6 NEMVEscaffold_322_Cont23763, whole genome shotgun sequence.
GGUCCCAUGGUGUAAUGGUUAGCACUCUGGACUCUGAAUCCAGCGAUCCGAGCUCAAAUCUUUGGGAACU